CAAUGUGAGUCAGUGAGUGACCGGUGACUGGCUGCUGCAGCCAAUGAUGCGAUUCACAUACGUAUUUACCAUAGACUGUAUAUAAUGGUAUUUACGCAGCUAAUCAACGUCAGGCGUCCUUAUGUGCAGCCACCGUUGUUCUCAUAGAUAUGAAUGAGUAGAUAGGACACGCCCCUUUGAGCUGCGUGCUACAGCGAGGCUAAGCUAGUGGGGGCAAAGUUUCAGUGCAUUCCGUUGAUGUAGACGGCGUGAAAACGGAAACAAGAAGUAUGCCGGCUCACUGUGCUGCAUACAAUUACACACUAUGUCGUACGAUUGAGACAAGGAAACUUGGAAUGACUUUUCAUAGGUUUCCCAGAGACUAUGGGUUGAGGAGGAAUUGGAAGUUUGUCGGCUUAGACCUGGUGUCAUUCCAUCAGUGUUAAACUUUCCGGCUCAUCUUGGAAGAGUACGUGCCAGAAAGACCACAACCAAGCAGCCUUGAGAUCUUAGGCAGCGUCUCCCUCAGGUCCCUCUCUAUCUCCCCACAGAUCCACCAACCACUGGAACACAUCUCCAAAGUUCUGCUGGGCCAGCUCAGCUUCCCCUCAGAAGAAGUGCCGCCAGAUGAAGGAGCCUUUUGAGAGGCAGCUGGCAUCGUGAUUGGACUGUACUUUGGUCUGUUCCAAUCCAGCUUCAGCUCCAGAGACGGCAGGCGGGACGAGUCAACGGAGGCCUGGUGGACGAAGGCAUGCAGCUGAGUAUAAUCCAGAAAACAACAGAGGAGGAGUGCAGUGGCCCAGGGCCAGAACAAACAGAGUAGCAUCGUAUGUCUCUUAGAAAACAUCAUAGUAUAGCCUUUGGGAUGAAAAAACGCCAUCAUAUACAUCGUAUAUUAUGCAAAUAACAAGUCAAAGGAAAGAGACAUACAUUGUAGAAUUGUAGUAAUUCUGGGCUGACUGAUUUACUGAUUAUCAGUUUUUUAUUUUUUACUGAUUUACGGUAAUAAAUACAUUUAAAAAUUGUGCUACUUUGGCUUCUUAAAUUUUUAUCAAAAUCCUGACAAAAACAAAGAAAAAUGCCAGUGGUGGGUCUUGAACCAGCUACCUUCCAGUUGGUAGCCUCUCUUCUUACCCAGUGAGCUACUCACUCAGAUACCAAACCUUCUUUUUUUCACGCAUUUGUCAUCUAUUUUUUGUCAUUUUCGACCAUUUUUCUCAGGAGGUUGGACUUCAGCGUUUGUGCUGGAGGGUUGAACCCUCAGUUCCAAGACUUUCCAAAGCCUCCACACCUCCCGAGUCCUCAGGACCUGAGCUUUCACACAGUCUGAGGGCUGAAAUUUUCUAAGUUCCACAGUAGUUCUCUGUUAGAUUGAACUUUCAGACAGUCCAAGGACUGAUAUCUUCUAAGUUCCUGAGUAGUUCUCUGUUAGUUUGAAACUUCAGACAGUCUGAGGGCUGAAAUUUUCUAAGUCCCACAGUAGUUCUCUGUUAGAUUGAGUCCAAGGGCUGAUAUCUUCUAAGUUCCUGAGUAGUUCUCUGUUAGUUUGAACCUUCAGACAGUCUGAGGACUGAAAACCUAAAACUUCUUGAGUACUUCUCUGUUAGUUUGAACCUUCAGACAGUCUGAGGACCGAAAUUUUAGAAGUUUCUCAGUACUUCUCUGUUAGUUUGAACUUUCUGGUUAACAGAAGCCUUAAAACUUGUGACCAUGAGUCUUGAUUUCACAUUUAGACCAUCAAUCUGAGUUCUUGUCAGACCUUCACCUGUGGGUUUUUUAGAAAUCCUGAACAAACUUUGAUUCUCUUCACUGAACAGUAAAGUUUGUGGAGAUCAGAAGGUAACAGUUUGAUCAAUGCCUUCAACUACUAGUAGACUUUAUCUGGAAAGCAGUUUUCUUAAAUGAAUUCUUAGUAAAUCUUACCACAAUCAAACCAAGAACACAGAAAGAGGAAAUGUUUGAAGAAACAACUUGAUGUUUUCAUUUCAGACUAGAAAACGCUUUAAGAACUUUGUCUGUUUUUGCUCUUUUUCAUCGUUUUAUUGUCUUGUCUGUUUAAUUUGAUCUUCCAAAGUCUAACUGGUGUCUUUUCCAAUGUUGUCUUUAGUUUGAUUCUUCUUAAAUGUUGUUAUGCUCUUUUCUCACCUUUUAUUCUUUUCUAAUGUCUGAUUUGAUUUCGAAAUGUUUAGUGUUUUUAAUGUUUAAUUGUUUUUUCAAAUGUUUUAUCGGCUUGUUUGAAAUUUUUUUCUUUCCCAAUAUGUAAUUUUUUGAUUAAAUCCUGAAGGUUUUUCUUUUUAAAUGCUUUACCACCUUUUAAUGUUUAAUUUUCUUUUUAAGUGCUUCAUUGUAUUUUCUGUUUAAUUCCUAUUUGAAUUUUUAUUGUUUUUAAGAUGUAAUUUUCUAAUUAAACAUUUAACUUUUUAAUUAAAUGUUUUGUCUCUUUAAGUUACUUUUUUAUUUUCAUAGGCACAGUGAGAGAGAGAGAGAGAGACAGGAAACAGGUGAGAAGAGUUGGGGAGAACAUACAGCAAAGGGCCGUGAGCGGGAUUCGAACCCGGGCCGCUGUGUCGGCGACCAGCCUCUGUAUGUGGGUCGCCCGCUCAA